ACAGACAUUAAUUUUUCUCCACUGCUCAUUAAAGAAAGCGGGCAGACGGGCACCCGUCUGAACGCUAGAAUAAGAAUAAAGGUUAUAGUAAUGAAGCUUAUAGUAAUAACAGAACAUAUAAAAUAUGACAGUAAGUAGCAUAAACACAUGAAACCGUGAAACGCAGGCGGAAUCACGUAAUGCGACCCAAAAAAAUGGAGAAUCACGUUUUACACAUAAGCGCUUAUUUCAAACGCGAUUUUUGAACGCCAUAUCAACACUACUUGCUCAAGAUUCUCACGGUUUUGGUUUAGAAUUUAUGUGUUCUGACUCAAUUUUCAGAUUGUUUCGGUGAGCAUUGCGGUUUGAAUUAUGUUUCUGAUUCUUCUCCUUCUCCACUGUGAUGUUGUGUUGUUGCUAUUUGUUGUUUUUGGAACUUUGUCUUGUGGAUUGGUUACCGCAUUUGACGUUCUGUAACUCGCAUACCAAGUGUUCGGUAAAUUGCUUGAACCAAAUUUUUUUCCUUUUUUUUUAUUUGUUUUGGUUCUGUUUGGGAUUCUUUUUCUCACUGUUUUGGAUCCUGAAUCGAUUUCUCUAAUGGUUAUGAUAUUUUAAUUUGGUAUUUAUAAGAGUUGCGAUAAAGAUUCUUGGUGAUGUUUCUUGUGGUCUAUGGUGAACUAAUGAUGAAGGUUGGAAAUAGUGAGGAAAGAAGUCAAGUUUUGGUAUGAGUAAGAUGCUGAAUUUUCUAUGAUUUGUGUUCAUGGCAAGGUUUAGAUUCUCACCGUAAUUGUCCCCUAAAGAUGAAAAGUAAGGCAAAUACAUAAACAAGCAUGAAAAGAUAACCCAAACAAGCAAGUAAGCAUAAAAGACAUGAGCAAGCAAGCAUUCAUGGAGUGAUAAAUAAAGUUUGAGGCUUACCGAUCGGAGACCCUCCGAUGGUUCUUCAAUGGCGGAACAAACUCAAUACUGUACUCCCAUGAAAAAGGACAUGGCUUGGUCUUGAAGGAUGAUGAAGCAAGGAAUGUAUAACCAUAAAGAUGAUGAAAGAAGAUGGAUUGUUAAUGCUAGAAUAACAUGUUAUUUUGUACUUGUGCUUGGAUUUACACUUGUACUUUACUUUUGAAUUAAAUGGAAUUAGAAUUUAUAAUAGUUGCUACUAACGCUUUAGAAUUCGGAAUUGUAAUAUCAUUUAUGGUUUUAACAUUUGAAUUGGAAUGGUUUAGUGUUAGAAUUCGGAAUUGUAAUAUCAUUUAUGGUUUUAACA